rnacentral:rRNA from 1 species
CUCAGAAUGAACGCUGGCGGCAGGCUUACACAUGCAAGUCGAACGAUUAAAGCCCCUUCGGGGGUGUAUAAAGUGGCGGACGGGUUAGUAACGCGUGGGAACGUACCCUUUACUACGGAAUAGCCUUUGGAAACGAAGAGUAAUACCGUAUACGCCCUUUGGGGGAAAGAUUUAUCGGUAAAGGAUGAGCCCGCGUAAGAUUAGAUUGUUGGUGGGGUAAUGGCCUACCAAGUCUACGAUCUUUAGCUGGUUUGAGAGGAUGAUCAGCCACACUGGGACUGAGACACGGCCCAGACUCCUACGGGAGGCAGCAGUGGGGAAUAUUGGACAAUGGGCGCAAGCCUGAUCCAGCAAUGCCGCGUGAGUGAAGAAGGCCUUAGGGUUGUAAAGCUCUUUCAGUUGGAAAGAUAAUGACGGUACCAACAGAAGAAGCCCCGGCUAACUCCGUGCCAGCAGCCGCGGUAAUACGGAGGGGGCUAGCGUUAUUCGGAAUCACUGGGCGUAAAGCGCACGUAGGCGGACUGAUCAGGUAGAGGUGAAAUCCCAGGGCUCAACCCUGGAACUGCCUUUAAUACUGUCAGUCUAGAGAUCGAGAGAGGUGAGUGGAAUUCCAAGUGUAGAGGUGAAAUUCGUAGAUAUUAGGAGGAACACCAGUGGCGAAGGCGACUGUCUGGACCGAUAUUGACGCUAAGGCUCGAAAGCGUGGGGAGCAAACGGGAUUAGAUACCCCGGUAGUCCACGCCGUAAACGAUGUAUGUUAAUUGUUGGGGUUUCACCUCAGUGAUACAGCUAACGCUUUAAACAUACCGCCUGGGGAGUACGGCCGCAAGGCUAAAACUCAAAGGAAUUGACGGGGACCCGCACAAGCGGUGGAGCAUGUGGUUUAAUUCGAUGCAACGCGAAGAACCUUACCACCAUUUGACAUCCCGAUCGCCGGUCACGUAAUAGUGACCUUUCAGUUAGGCUGGAUCGGUGACAGGUGUUGCAUGGCUGUCGUCAGCUCGUGUCGUGAGAUGUUGGGUUAAGUCCCGCAACGAGCGCAACCCUCAUCCUUAUUUGCCAGCACGUUAUGGUGGGAACUCUAAGGAAACUGCUCGUGAUAAGCGAGAGGAAGGUGGGGACGACGUCAAGUCAUCAUGGCCCUUAUAUGGUGGGCUACACACGUGCUACAAUGGCAGUGACAAUGGGUCGCUAGUCCGCAAGGACAUGCUAAUCUCUAAAAGUUAUCUCAGUUCGGAUUGGACUCUGCAACUCGAGUCCAUGAAGUUGGAAUCGCUAGUAAUCGCGGAUCAGCAUGACGCGGUGAUACGUUCCCGGGUCUUGUACACACUGCCCGUCACGCCAUGGGAGUUGGUUUUACCUGAAUUAGCCGGGCUAACCUUUUGGAGGCA